GCAACGCCGCGUGAGGGACGACGGCCUUCGGGUUGUAAACCUCUUUUAGUAGGGAAGAAGCGAAAGUGACGGUACCUGCAGAAAAAGCACCGGCUAACUACGUGCCAGCAGCCGCGGUAAUACGUAGGGUGCAAGCGUUGUCCGGAAUUAUUGGGCGUAAAGAGCUCGUAGGCGGUUUGUCGCGUCUGCUGUGAAAUCCGGAGGCUCAACCUCCGGCCUGCAGUGGGUACGGGCAGACUAGAGUGCGGUAGGGGAGAUUGGAAUUCCUGGUGUAGCGGUGGAAUGCGCAGAUAUCAGGAGGAACACCAAUGGCGAAGGCAGAUCUCUGGGCCGUAACUGACGCUGAGGAGCGAAAGCAUGGGGAGCGAACAGGAUUAGAUACCCUGGUAGUCCAUGCCGUAAACGUUGGGAACUAGGCGUAGGGUCCAUUCCACGGAUUCUGUGCCGCAGCUAACGCAUUAAGUUCCCCGCCUGGGGAGUACGGCCGCAAGGCUAAAACUCAAAGGAAUUGACGGGGGCCCGCACAAGCGGCGGAGCAUG
rnacentral:rRNA from 1 species